CUCUGAUUUUGAGGAAGAGAGCUUAGUAUUGAACAGAAUUCAUUUCCCUCUCCCAACUCCCUUCCUCCCUUUUGACACAAAAGCAGAGAAAAGCUGCCUCUCGGUCAUCAAAAGUAUCUUUUCCUUUCUGCGUGCAAUUAAGUGCUACACACACGCACCACCCCCACCCCAACACCCCAUCACGGUCCAACUGCAGAAUCACCAAUGACUGAAACUGAACACUGAUACUACUUGAAGUUGAACUAAUUGAUACCUACCACCGCUUGCUGGAGGUUGAGGAUGCCCAGUGAGUGUGCACCCGGGCUGGAGAAGGGAGGAGGUAUGGCCCGGAAAAGAGACACAGAAAGGUGGAUGAUGCCCACCUGGCUGCCGAUGACUUCUGCACCAAGUGAGGCUGGGUCUCUGGAGCUGCCCCAGGGGCUGGACAAGCUGACCCUGCCUGGAGCCAAGCUGGAGAUGCAGCCUGAGAACCUCAAGGAGGACGUGGUCUACCUGAAGAAGAACCAUGAGGAGGUGAGUUCAGCUCAGGGAAUGCAGCAGAAAUUCACCUGGAAGCAAGCGAGGCUGGGGCCCAGAACCUCCCUGGGCUGGGCCAUGCUUCCAGUCCAGUUCCCAUCCUUAAUGGAUGCCUAGCUCUGACCCUCAGAGGACCCUGGGUGAGGCCUGGAGGAGCCCUCUUCUCAAAUAGACUUCAUUUGUCCCUUCAGGCUCAGCUCACUGCAGUUAACUAACUAAUGAGUAACUCAGUGUAAGAACACACAAUGCUAAUUAUUAUAAUUAAUUAUAAUAGUGAUAGUCAUUAAAACAAGGAACUUCUGCCCAGCACUACAAGUGACUCACAGCCAUUACCUCAACUGAUACAAAAACUGGGAGAAAGAUACUGUUUCUUCCUUUUGACCUGUGAAGAAACUGAGGCUCAGAGAGGUUAAGGGAUAUAUCUACGGCUGCACAGGGACCCUCCUUAAGGUCGGACUCGUAUCCACCCCACCUCUCUGCCCCUCUCCUGCCUCUCCUUUCCAGAAGGUUCUAGGUCCCAGGGACUGCAAGGCUCAACCCACGGAUAGAGAUCCAAGGUCCUGCCGGGGCGGUCAGGAGGUCUUACAUGCCCUGUCCUGUGGCUUCCUUCUCAGCUGAGCUCUGUGCUGCUCUAAGCUGGGGGAGCCUACUCCCCGAGAAGCAGGACACCCAGAAGGUGUUUCCCCCUGGCGUUGAGGCUGGUUAUACAAUUGCUUUCCUCCAGCAGAUUAACAUUUGCUAACGGGGCCUGGCGCGGUGACACCAGCGUAAGGUUGCUUUUUGCAUGCCUGUGCUGUGGGGUUGGUGGUGGGGGCAAGGCGGUGGUAGGGGCGAGGUCAGGGCAGUGAGUGAGGUUGCCCAUGGUCAUCCUCCACCGUGCUGGGGGGUUGUCAUCUCUCGGGGCUUAGCACUUGUUGGGGAUGGGUGAAGUCCAGUCCUGAGUCACAGUGUGUGUUGGGAGAGGUUGCUGAUAUUCAUAGCCCUGUAUGUUUGAGUAAUGACAACAUCCAUCUCCACCUUCAGGGUGAGGAGCUGUUGGCCUAUCUGUGUCUGUCUGUCUGUCAUCCGUACCUGUCUCUCUGAGGGAGAGAAGGCAGGCCCCAGGGUCUUUCCCCAGGAUGGCCUUGGGUGAGUUCCUGCUGUCCUCUCUGCCCAGGAAAUGAACGCCCUUUGAGGUCAGGUGGACGAGGAUGUCAGUGUGAAGAUGGACACUGUGCCUGGAGUGAACCUGAGCUGCAUCCUGAAUGAGAUGUGUGACCAGGACAAGAAACUGGUGGAGAAGAGCUGCAAGGAUGCCCAGGGCUGGUUCUUCAGCGUGGUGGGUGGCCGUGUGUAAGCAGGUGUGCACACGUGUGGGCACAUAUGCUGUGUGCUGGUGCAGCUGGCAGAUUCACAGGCUGUCCCAGUUGGAAGGACUUUUGGAAACCAGUCGGACCAGCCCUUCAUGUCUUCGACGUAAAAUGUGAGGCUCAGAGAGGACUCAAGCUCACACAGCCCUUCACUGUGGCCUGCAAAAUAGAUCCAGUUCUCUGCAAGUCUGGUCUUGGGUUUCCACCACAGCUGUUUACAGGAUGUGUGUAUUUGAGUACGUACGCAUACCCUUGGCAAGCACAAGCUGUGUGUUUCCGGUGUCCUAGAGACAGCAACAGGUGCAAAAGAAUAACACCCAGUGCCUGUCUUUGAGGUGCUGUAGUUCGGUAGGAGUAAGAAAUGCAAACGACCGCAGAGCAGGCUGAAUUCCUCCAAGGUCCAACGUGGGUGCAGAGGGUCUUUUUGUGCAGGUGCCUUUGGGGCCCCAUAGAGGCCAGGGAGGGUUUAGGGGAUGGUUCUGGGAGGCGAGGGCUCAGGAACAGCCCCUUUCCUGUGCCCCACUUCUGAAAGUCUCCAUAAACCCCUGUGGCCCACUCUGCCUUCCAGAGAGAGGGGCUGAACUGCGAGGUGGCCACCAACACAGAGGCCCUGCAGAGCGGCAGGAUGGAGAUACGGAGCUCUACAUCUCUGUGCAUAACCUGAGCCGUCCCAGCUCAGCAAGAAAGCAUCGCUGGAGGGCAGCCUGGUGGAGACGGAGGUGUGCUACAGGACCCAGCUGGCCCAGCUGCAGGGGCUCAUCAGAAGCAUGAAACAGCAGCUGUGCGAGCUCUGCUGUGAUGCAGAGCACCAGAACCACGAGCACCAGGUCCUUCUGGACGUGAAGACGCGGCUGGAGCAGGAGAUCGCCACCUACAGCCGCUUGCUAGAGGUUGAGGACGCCCAGUGAGUGUGCACCCAGGAGGUGAAACUGAGGAUGCAGGCUGGAGUCUGACUGAGGAGCCUUGACUGCCAAGUUAAAGCAUCUGGACUAGAUCACGUAGGCAAUGGGGAGCCAUGGAGGGAUUUGGAGCAGAACAGGGGAAUGAACAUCAAGAUAUUUUAGAACAUUCACUCUGGCUGCAGAGGGAGAAAUGGACCAGAGGGGUCAGGGUGGGGCCAGAGAGAUGCGUCAGGGGGCUAGAGCAGGGAGUCUGGCCAGAGAAGUCUUGCGGAGUGGAGGCUGGGUGGGGGGGCAGGGGAAGGAAGGUGGUGCAUGCAGAAGAGAGGUUAUAGCUCAAAACAGCAGGACUGGAUGCGUGGAUCUCAGGCCUGUAAGCAUGGCUCACAGUCAGGACUCAGUAAGUGUUGGGUGAACACAUAUGAAGGAGUGGGCAUUGAUGGCCCUGGGUUUCUGGUUCCGAUGACUGUGAGUCCAUCAGCCACAGGGUGAAGAGCAUGGUGGGUGAUGGUCGGGUUUGCAGUUGGGAAGGGUGAUCAGGCCUUCAGCUGAGAGUGUCCUGGAGUCUCCAUGCUUAGUCACACGUUGCAGCUUUUUGCUCCCCGAAAAUGGUGAAGUCCAUCUAUAGUCUAACGACAGUCUCUCCUGCUUUAAUUGGGUCUAUUUGUUGGGUCCUCUGGGAUAUGGAAAAACCACUUGCUCAGCUUCUUGUAAAUUCCUGGUGAGUGCCUCCAGGCCUACUGCUGUGCUGUUUCUUUUUCUUCUUCCUGCUGCGCUGAACCCCUGCCCUUUCAUUCUUGGGCUUGUGCUAAUUUCUGUGCAUUCCCAACUGUGAUUUUUCACCAAUUUAGGGGAACCUCCUCUGCCAGGGCCUGCUUCUCCCCAGCAGUGCUUGCAGGGGCCUGGGCUGGCUGGCAUCCCUGGGUCGAUGGGUGCUCCUCUCCCUGCAGGCUGGCCACUCAGUACUCCUUGUCCCUGGCCUCGCAGCCCACCCGGGAAGCCACAGUGACCAGCCACCAGGUGUGCCAUCGUGGAGGAAGUCCAGGUUGGAGAGGUGGUCUUCUGUGAGCAGGUCCAUCUCUCAAGCCACUGAGGCCCCUUUCUGCCUGUGACAGCCCCACCUCGAGGGUCACGGCACAGCCAUCAGCUCCAGCUCCCAGCAUGCUACUGCCACGCCCCGAGUGUCCGUCUGGGCACCGGUCCAUGACCUGUUGUCUUUCUGUAUCUACUUUCUGCAGCCCCUCACUGAGGAGGCCCCCUGGGUUUGUCCAGUGCCUGCUAUUAAAGCUUUGCUCCAAGUUCAA